CCUACGGGGGGCAGCAGUAGGGAAUUUUCGUCAAUGGGCGCAAGCCUGAACGAGCGAUGCCGCGUGAGUGAAGAAGGCCUUCGGGUCGUAAAGCUCUGUUGCGGGGGAAAAAAGGCAGCAUCAGGAAAUGGGUGCUGACUGAUGGUGCCCCGCCAGAAAGUCACGGCUAACUACGUGCCAGCAGCCGCGGUAAUACGUAGGUGGCGAGCGUUAUCCGGAAUGAUUGGGCGUAAAGGGUGCGCAGGCGGCGCAUUAAGUUUGAAGUAAAAGGUAGCGGCUCAACCGCUGCAAGCUUCGAAAACUGG
rnacentral:rRNA from 1 species